rnacentral:rRNA from 1 species
GACAGAGGGUGCAAACGUUGUUCGGAAUUACUGGGCGUAAAGCGCGUGUAGGCGGCUCUGCAAGUCGGGUGUGAAAUCCCAUGGCUCAACCAUGGAAGUGCACUCGAAACUGCAGGGCUAGAGUCCUGGAGAGGAAGGUGGAAUGCUUGGUGUAGAGGUGAAAUUCGUAGAUAUCAAGCGGAACACCGGUGGCGAAGGCGGCCUUCUGGACAGUGACUGACGCUGAGACGCGAAAGCGUGGUGAGCAAACAGG